AUAGGUUCCGUUGGAUUAAUAGGGAAUCCUGUGCAAAACAGGAACUAUACCCGUAGCUGUGAGUUCAAUAAAAACCUUCGAAGCCAAUGGUCACUGAGAACGCUAUGUUCUUGGGAAGACUUUCGAAGUGUGGAACAAGUCAGAAGACCUGCCUAUUUA
rnacentral:ncRNA from 1 species